UACGUAGGGUGCGAGCGUUGUCCGGAAUUAUUGGGCGUAAAGAGCUUGUAGGCGGUUUGUCGCGUCUGCCGUGAAAAUUCGAGGCUCAACCUCGAACUUGCGGUGGGUACGGGCAGACUAGAGUGUGGUAGGGGAGACUGGAAUUCCUGGUGUAGCGGUGAAAUGCGUAGAUAUUGGGAGGAACACCAGUGGCGAAGGCGGCUCACUGGACCGGUACUGACGCUGAUGCGCGAAAGCGUGGGGAGCAAACGGG
rnacentral:rRNA from 1 species